CCUUAGAGUUUGAUCCUGGCUCAGGACGAACGCUGGCGGCGCGCCUAACACAUGCAAGUCGAACGGAGUCAAGAGGAGCUUGCUUUUCUUGACUUAGUGGCGAACGGGUGAGUAACGCGUGAGUAACCUGCCCUGGAGUGGGGGACAACAGUUGGAAACGACUGCUAAUACCGCAUAAGCCCACGGCCCGGCAUCGGGCUGGGGGAAAAGGAUUUAUUCGCUUCAGGAUGGACUCGCGUCCAAUUAGCUAGUUGGUGAGGUAACGGCCCACCAAGGCGACGAUUGGUAGCCGGACUGAGAGGUUGAACGGCCACAUUGGGACUGAGACACGGCCCAGACUCCUACGGGAGGCAGCAGUGGGGGAUAUUGCAUAAUGGGGGAAACCCUGAUGCAGCGACGCCGCGUGGAGGAAGAAGGUUUUCGGAUUGUAAACUCCUGUUGUUGAGGAAGAUAAUGACGGUACUCAACAAGAAAGUGACGGCUAACUACGUGCCAGCAGCCGCGGUAAAACGUAGGUCACAAGCGUUGUCCGGAAUUACUGGGUGUAAAGGGAGCGCAGGCGGGAGAACAAGUUGGAAGUGAAAUCCAUGGGCUCAACCCAUGAACUGCUUUCAAAACUGUUUUUCUUGAGUAGUGCAGAGGUAGGCGGAAUUCCCGGUGUAGCGGUGGAAUGCGUAGAUAUCGGGAGGAACACCAGUGGCGAAGGCGGCCUACUGGGCACCAACUGACGCUGAGGCUCGAAAGUGUGGGUAGCAAACAGGAUUAGAUACCCUGGUAGUCCACACCGUAAACGAUGAUUACUAGGUGUUGGAGGAUUGACCCCUUCAGUGCCGCAGUUAACACAAUAAGUAAUCCACCUGGGGAGUACGACCGCAAGGUUGAAA
rnacentral:rRNA from 1 species